CCAGGCCCGGCAGCUGUCAGUGUGAACCUGGGGGAGGUAGCAGGUGUUUCUGCAGCCUAACUCAGACUUGCGCCCAAGGACACUUUGACCUAGGUUAACCGAGACCUGAAGCAGUCCUAGCCAGUGCCAUCCUUGGGGGUAGAUGUGAGGCCAGACUUUCACUUGAGACACCCCCCGGGGGGUCUAGAAGUUUCUUGGAGUGAAGCUG
rnacentral:lncRNA from 1 species